AUUUAUAAAGUUUAUAAAACACUUCAUUUUCAUUGAAGAGAUAAGCUUGUGCUUUAUAAAUA
rnacentral:tRNA from 1 species